rnacentral:rRNA from 1 species
GAUGAACGCUGGCGGCGUGCCUAAUACAUGCAAGUCGAGCGAACAGAUAAGGAGCUUGCUCCUUUGACGUUAGCGGCGGACGGGUGAGUUACGCGUGGAUAACCUACCUAUAAGACUGGGAUAACUUCGGGAAACCGGAGCUAAUACCGGAUAACAUAUUGAACCGCAUGGUUCAAUAGUGAAAGGCGGCUUUGCUGUCACUUAUAGAUGGAUCCGCGCCGUAUUAGCUAGUUGGUAAGGUAACGGCUUACCAAGGCAACGAUACGUAGCCGACCUGAGAGGGUGAUCGGCCACACUGGAACUGAGACACGGUCCAGACUCCUACGGGAGGCAGCAGUAGGGAAUCUUCCGCAAUGGGCGAAAGCCUGACGGAGCAACGCCGCGUGAGUGAUGAAGGUCUUCGGAUCGUAAAACUCUGUUAUCAGGGAAGAACAAAUGUGUAAGUAACUGUGCACAUCUUGACGGUACCUGAUCAGAAAGCCACGGCUAACUACGUG